UUGUCUCAAAGAUUAAGCCAUGCAUGUCUCAGUACAUACCGAAUUAAGGUGAAACCGCGAAAGGCUCAUUAUAUCAGUUAUGGUUCAUUAGAUCGUACUUCACAUUUACUUGGAUAACUGUGGUAAUUCUAGAGCUAAUACAUGCAAACAGAACUCCGACCGGAGACGGAAGGAGCGCUUUUAUUAGAUCAAAACCGAUGGGCGUCGGCGGCCGGCGUGAUCGUGCGCCGCGUCGUCGUCGUCGCAUAGCUCUCACGAUGAAUCUGAAUAACUUUAUGCCGAUCGCACGGUCAAGCACCGGCGACGCAUCUUUCAAAUGUCUGCCUUAUCAACUUUCGAUGGUAGGUUAUGCGCCUACCAUGGUUGUAACGGGUAACGGGGAAUCAGGGUUCGAUUCCGGAGAGGGAGCCUGAGAAACGGCUACCACAUCCAAGGAAGGCAGCAGGCGCGCAAAUUACCCACUCCCGGCACGGGGAGGUAGUGACGAAAAAUAACGAUACGGGACUCAUCCGAGGCCCCGUGAUCGGAAUGAGCACACUUUAAAUCCUUUAACUAGGAUCAAUUGGAGGGCAAGUCUGGUGCCAGCAGCCGCGGUAAUUCCAGCUCCAAUAGCGUAUAUUAAAGUUGCUGCGGUUAAAAAGCUCGUAGUCGAAAUUGUGUCCCGGGCCGCCGGUUCGUCGCUCGCGACGUCAACUGGCGCGCACGCGGGACGUCCAGCCGGUGCUCGAACCCGCCGACGGUGCUCUUAACCGAGUGUCCAGGCGGGGGCCGGCAACGUUACUUUGAACAAAUUAAAGUGCUCAAAGCAGGCUAAACUGCGCUCGCAUAAUCAGUGCAUGGAAUAAUCGAAUAGGACCUCUGUUCUAUUUUGUUGGCUUUUGUAGAACAAACAGAGGUAAUGAUCAAUGGGUGCGGAUGGGGGCAUUCGUAUUGCGACGUUAGAGGUGAAAUUCUUGGAUCGUCGCAAGACGCACUAAAGCGAAAGCAUUUGCCAAAAACGCUUUCAUCGAUCAAGAACGAAAGUUAGAGGUUCGAAGGCGAUCAGAUACCGCCCUAGUUCUAACCAUAAACUAUGCCAGCCAGCGAUCCGCCGAAGUUACUACUAUGACUCGGCGGGCAGCUACCGGGAAACCAAAGCUUUUGGGUUCCGGGGGAAGUAUGGUUGCAAAGCUGAAACUUAAAGGAAUUGACGGAAGGGCACCACCAGGAGUGGAGCCUGCGGCUUAAUUUGACUCAACACGGGAAACCUCACCAGGCCCGGACACCGAAAGGAUUGACAGAUUGAGAGCUCUUUCUUGAUUCGGUGGGUGGUGGUGCAUGGCCGUUCUUAGUUGGUGGAGCGAUUUGUCUGGUUAAUUCCGAUAACGAACGAGACUCUGCCGUGCUAAAUCGGCGACUAAAUACGACGGCGCCGCCCAGGCGUCCGUCGCGUAACAGACAUCUCGAUUCGCAUCUGCGAGGUUCUUACACUGUCUGCGGACACUAAAUUCUUCUUAGAGGGACAAGCGGAUUGAAGCCGCACUACAAAGAGCAAUAACAGGUCUGUGAUGCCCUUAGAUGUCCUGGGCCGCACGCGCGCUACACUGAAGGAAUCAGCGUGUGCGUAUAAGCCCUAGGCCGAGAGGUCCGGGUAACCCGCUGAAACUCCUUCGUGCUAGGGAUUGGAGCUUGAAGUUCUUCCCCAUGAACGAGGAAUUCCCAGUAAGCGCGAGUCAUAAGUUCGCUUUGAUUACGUCCCUGCCCUUUGUACACACCGCCCGUCGCUACUACCGAUCGAACGAUUUAGCGAGGUCUUCGGACCGGUGCCCGGCGACUGCGUGUCGACCGGUUUGCGCGGGAAAGUUGACCGAACUUGAUCGUUU
rnacentral:rRNA from 1 species